rnacentral:lncRNA from 1 species
UGGCUCCUCUCGCUGCACAAGAAAACCUGAUUGCAACAGGAGAUGGAAAUGCAAGCUAGACGUAUCUGAGGAGUAACACUGACAAAGAGAUUGAGAAGUGAGGUUUUCCAGGGCCCAGCCAAAGACCGGAGCCCCCACCACCAGGUGUUUGCGAGGCACAGACCACGGAGAAGAAGAGGCUGGGUAAGCAGAAAGCCUGUGUUCACAGAGGCCACCAUUGGAGAUGGGGGUGAUGAGGGAGGGGAGGAAAACGCGAGUCAGGCUGACAGCACCUGCCCAGGGGCUUCUACAGAAAGGCUCAUCUCCCCUUUCUGGAUUCUUCCCUCGCUCUACCACAGGUGCCUAGUGUCCCACUCUUCAGCAUAUUAACCACGUCUUUGAUUGUCUAUCUACUGACCCGUUGACCUUUGGGGCCUUGUGACCCUGGAGGGAGGGACUCUUCCAGAGCAGGCCAGUUCCUAGAGAUAGUAAACAACUCCCUUCCAAGGGCGCUUGUCAAAUACGACACAACCAAUCCAGGGUCCACGCCCUGACACCUCCUUUCCUGAGCUUUCAUGCUCUGGGCCACUCUGCACCCCACGGCCAGCUACCAGACAGCCGUGGGCAGCCCCUACUCUUCAGAGCCCCCCAAAGUUACUCAAACUAGCCAGUCCUAAAUAGCUCCCCCUGCCUUGCUCGGCCUCUCCUGCACAAACUACGCUAAAGGCUCUGGCCCACAACUGGCCUCCUUCUCCCUCUUCCUCUUGGCCAACCCUCCUGCCCUCCUGCCCUCACGUGCGGCCCUCGUGGUGUGGCAUGCCUUCUCCUCUGUGGGACUCUGAGGAACACACUAUCUUUUCAGUGG